UCACGUAUUGGUUGGAAAGUAUGUCAUGUGCCCUCCUGAUUUAUUUUUAUAAUACUGGAACUAAGGACAAUUUAUUCACGCAAGCGUAAUACAUUGUUGAUAUCUAAAGAGUUUAGGUUAUUGUAUCACUUAUCGACCAAAUACUAUUAUCGGUUUCAAUAUGAGAUGAUAUAAUAUUUCAUCAUAUGUUGACUAUUUAGUUUCAUAGUCGUACAAAGGUGAAGGUUUAUCUACGUAUGACAUAAGCAACGCAUUGGGUGAAUAUAAUUCUCAAAAAAGGAAUUAACUGUAGAAGGGAAUUGAACAGUGGUUGAAAUAUAAAAACGUUACACUGAUAAUUUCGUUAUACAUACUAUUGGCGUUCUUUAAGGUAGCUGGUUCCAGCCACAAGCAACUGAAAUUGUCGCAAAUAUUAUAAGUAAUACAAGUUUAACAGAAAGGGUGGACAUUAUAGUUCGAUGGUGGAUAUGUCUCCUUUAAUCAAGUCGAUUUCUUUAAAACACGAGCUUAAAUACCACAGCUUGAAGAACCUGGAAUAUUCAACUGUUAAAGAAAAAAAGACGGAAACGUUAUUAAUGAAGAACAUGAAAUCUGAUGAUUAUUACUGCUGCAUGUGGAUUGUCCCGUGCUUUCUGAUGGAUAAAAACACGUUUAAAGUAUAAAAUAUGUAUUUAAUGACUGCACUGUAUUAACAUUGACGAAAAACAAACUCUAAUAUAAAUGUGUAUGUAAAAGAU